UACGAAGGGGGCUAGCGUUGUUCGGAUUCAUUGGGCGUAAAGGGUGCGUAGGCGGCGGGGUAAGUCAGGUGUGAAAUCUCGGGGCUCAACCCCGAAACUGCACUUGAUACUGCCUCGCUUGAGUACUGGAGAGGAGACUGGAAUUUACGGUGUAGCAGUGAAAUGCGUAGAUAUCGUAAGGAAGACCAGUGGCGAAGGCGAGUCUCUGGACAGUUACUGACGCUGAGGCACGAAGGCCAGGGGAGCAAACGGG
rnacentral:rRNA from 1 species